AUGGGCUCGAUAAAGGACAGAAAUGGUAUGGACCUAACAGAAGCAGAAGAUAUUAAGAAGAGGUGUCAAGAAUACACAGAAGAACUGUACAAAAAAGAUCUUCAUGACCCGGAUAAUCCCGAUGGUGUGAUCACUCAUCUAGAGCCAGACAUCCUGGAAUGUGAAGUCAAGUGGGCCUUAGGAAGCAUCACUACAAACAAAGCUAGUGGAGGUGAUGGAAUUCCAGUAGAGCUAUUUCGAAUCCUAAAAGAUGAUGCUGUGGAAGUGCUGCACUCAAUAUGCCAGCAAAUUUGGAAAACUCAGCAGUGGCCACAGAACUGGAGAAGGUCAGUUUUCAUUCCAAUCCCAAAGAAAGGCAAUGCCAAAGAAUGCUCAAACUACCGCACAAUUGCACUCAUCUCACAUGCUAGUAAAGUAAUGCUCAAAAUUCUUCCAGACAGGUUUCAGCAAUAUGUGAACCGUGAACUUCCUGAUGUUCAAGCCGGUUUUAGAAAAGGCAGAGGAACCAGAGAUCAAAUUGCCAACAUCUGCUGGAUCAUGGAAAAAGCAAGAGAGUUCCAGAAAAACAUCUAUUUCUGCUUUAUUGACUAUGCCAAAGCCUUUGACUGUGUGGAUCACAAUAAACUGUGGAAAAUUCUGAAAGAGAUGGGAAUACCAGACCACCUGACCUGCCUCUUGAGAAACCUGUGUGCAGGUCAGGAAGCAACAGUUAGAACUGGACAUGGAACAACAGACUGGUUCCAAAUAGGAAAAGGAGUACGUCAAGGCUGUAUACUGUCACCCAGCUUAUUUAACUUCUAUGCAGAGUACAUCAUGAGAAACGCUGGGCCGGAGGAAGCACAAGCUGGAAUCAAGAUUGCCGGGAGAAAUAUCAAUAACCUCAGAUAUGCAGAUGACACCACCCUUAUGGCAGAAAGUGAAGAGGAACUAAAAAGCCUCUUGAUGAAAGUAAAAGAGGAGAGUGAAAAAGUUGGCUUAAAGCUCAACAUUCAGAAAACGAAGAUCAUGGCAUCCAGUCCCAUCACUUCAAGGGAAAUAGAUGGGGAAACAGUGAAAACAGUGUCAGACUUUAUUUUUCUGGGCUCCAAAAUCACUGCAGAUGGUGAUUGCAGCCAUGAAAUUAAAAGACACUUACUCCUUGGAAGAAAAGUUAUGAGCAACCUAGAUAGCAUAUUCAAAAGCAGAGACAUUACUUUGCCGACUAAGGUCCGUCUAGUCAAGGCUAUGGUUUUUCCAGUAGUCAUGUAUGGAUGUGAGAGUUGGACUGUGAAGAAGGCUGAGCGCCGAAGAAUUGAUUCUUUUGAACUGUGGUGUUGGAGAAGACUCUUGAGAGUCCCUUGCACUGCAAGGAGAUCCAACCAGUCCAUUCUGAAGGAGAUCAACCUUGGGAUUUCUUUGGAAGGAAUGAUGCUAAAGCUGAAACUCCAGUACUUUGGCCACCUCGUGCGAAGAGUUGACUCAUUGGAAAAGACUUUGAUGCUGGGAGGGAUUGGGGGCAGGAGAAGAAGGGGAUGA
rnacentral:lncRNA from 1 species